rnacentral:rRNA from 1 species
CUACGGGAGGCAGCAGUGGGGAAUAUUGCACAAUGGGCGGAAGCCUGAUGCAGCGACGCCGCGUGAGGGAUGAAGGCCUUCGGGUUGUAAACCUCUUUCAGCAGGGACGAAGCGUGAGUGACGGUACCUGCAGAAGAAGCACCGGCUAACUACGUGCCAGCAGCCGCGGUAAUACGUAGGGUGCGAGCGUUGUCCGGAAUUACUGGGCGUAAAGAGUUCGUAGGCGGUUUGUCGCGUCGUUUGUGAAAACCCGGGGCUCAACUUCGGGCUUGCAGGCGAUACGGGCAGACUUGAGUGUUUCAGGGGAGACUGGAAUUCCUGGUGUAGCGGUGAAAUGCGCAGAUAUCAGGAGGAACACCGGUGGCGAAGGCGGGUCUCUGGGAAACAACUGACGCUGAGGAACGAAAGCGUGGGUAGCAAACAGGAUUAGAUACCCUGGUAGUCCACGCCGUAAACGGUGGGCGCUAGGUGUGGGUUCCUUCCACGGGAUCUGUGCCGUAGCUAACGCAUUAAGCGCCCCGCCUGGGGAGUACGGCCGCAAGGCUAAAACUCAAAGAAA